GAAUUCGAUUAGGGUUUGAUCCUGGCUCAGAUUGAACGCUGGCGGCAGGCCUAACACAUGCAAGUCGAACGGUAGCACAGAGAGCUUGCUCUCGGGUGACGAGUGGCGGACGGGUGAGUAAUGUCUGGGAAACUGCCUGAUGGAGGGGGAUAACUACUGGAAACGGUAGCUAAUACCGCAUAACGUCGCAAGACCAAAGAGGGGGACCUUCGGGCCUCUUGCCAUCAGAUGUGCCCAGAUGGGAUUAGCUAGUAGGUGGGGUAACGGCUCACCUAGGCGACGAUCCCUAGCUGGUCUGAGAGGAUGACCAGCCACACUGGAACUGAGACACGGUCCAGACUCCUACGGGAGGCAGCAGUGGGGAAUAUUGCACAAUGGGCGCAAGCCUGAUGCAGCCAUGCCGCGUGUAUGAAGAAGGCCUUCGGGUUGUAAAGUACUUUCAGCGGGGAGGAAGGUGUUGUGGUUAAUAACCGCAGCAAUUGACGUUACCCGCAGAAGAAGCACCGGCUAACUCCGUGCCAGCAGCCGCGGUAAUACGGAGGGUGCAAGCGUUAAUCGGAAUUACUGGGCGUAAAGCGCACGCAGGCGGUCUGUCAAGUCGGAUGUGAAAUCCCCGGGCUCAACCUGGGAACUGCAUUCGAAACUGGCAGGCUAGAGUCUUGUAGAGGGGGGUAGAAUUCCAGGUGUAGCGGUGAAAUGCGUAGAGAUCUGGAGGAAUACCGGUGGCGAAUGCGGCCCCCUGGACAAAGACUGACGCUCAUGUGCGAAAGCGUGGGGGAGCAAACAUGAUU
rnacentral:rRNA from 1 species